UGCCCCGUAGUUCAGUGGUAGAAUAACUGACUGUUAAUCAGGAGGUCGCUGGUUCGAACCCAGCCGGGGCAG
rnacentral:tRNA from 2 species